ensembl:miRNA
UGGCCAUGUCCCUUAUGGAAGACUAGUGAUUUUGUUGUUCUAUAGCUCAUCUCACGACAACAAGUCACAGUCUGCCUUAUGGUGUACGGCCUC